rnacentral:lncRNA from 10 species
GUCCCCGGCUUUAGAAAGAAGACUUGACGCCUGUGACGACUCCCCUCUUAAGCCACAGACAAUAUGAGGACCCCGGGGGUCGGCGCGACCGGGCAGGAUCGCGCCCCGCUUGGGGCUGGACCCUGGUCCACGGAGCCCCGCCCCUAGCCCCGCCCACCACACCUGCCGCCUGCUCGAGGCUUGGACACGCCCGGGUCUUCUCUUGCCCCGCGCUGCGCCACCCGACCUGGGCCCUGGGAUGGGGCAGGGGCGGGGGGUGCUCGGCCCUGCCACACUGUGUGACCUUGGGAAGAUGCUUUUGCUGCUGCCAUUUCACAGACGGGAAAGCGACAACGGCCCGCCUGGACUUGAACACAGGCCCAAGGCCUUCUGACCACUUGCCCGCCUCUGCUGGGUAGGCUCAGGUUAGAGGGCCCUUUGCCCUCCCGGACCCAUUCCUAGGCCAUUGGGGCAGCUCCCUGGGCCCACCUCUCUGCCACUCCUAGCCCAGGCCACCUAGGCAGGAGCUCCCAGCCUGCCCGGGGCUGAUCCCCAGCCCACUGACCCCAGCCCUGGCCCCAGCGGGCAGGCGGGCAUUGCUCAACCUUUGGUGUUAUCUGCUGAGCUGGGGUGACCUCCGCCCCCAAGAGCUGGAGAAAUGACAUCUCUGGGCACCCUUGGUGGGUAGGAGGCAGGGAGGGAGGGGAUAAAACACUGGCCCAGCCUGCUGGCUUUCUGGGUCUUCCCAGCAGCCUCUGGGUUGGGGAGGGAUCAAGGCCCAGAGGGGUGCGGCAGCUUCCCUAGGGCCACCCGGCCAGCCCUUCCUCACUGCAAAAUGGGACACUCAGGGCUGAGCUAGAGGCCACGGCUUCUGAGAGGCCCUCCCUGUCCCACCUGCUAGUGAAUUUCCUUCCCUAUCGCCAGCCACCAUUAUCCUAGCUGUCUACCUCAGUCUCCCUGCAGGCUGCCACUUGGGGAGGGCUGGCCCACGAGGGACUCCUGAGCACAGCACGCUCAACAUUUACCAGUGAAGGAAUGCAUUUGCUGUUCCCUGUGCACCAAGAACACUGUCACCCCACCUCUGCCCAAGGCAGCUCCUCAGUCUUGCUGUCUGUCCCCACGGCCUUCACUACUGUGUCCCUGGUGCCUAGAACAGAGCCUGGUACAUAGAAGGUGCUCGAUGAAUGAUGAGGAAACUGAGGCCCAGAAGAGCUAAGUGUGUCUGCUCCAGGUCACAUGAAAGGAUGAGAAGGAAUAAAAUCUUUCCAGUCUGACUUUCCCUCUUGGGUUUGUCAUAACAGGCCUGGCAAUCCAUCUCUGCAGCUUUUCCCUAUCCCAUUUUCAAGAGGAGAAAACUGAGGCGAUUUGCCAAGGGGAGAUCCACGUGGCUGCUUUGACAGAGAGUGUUCUGCAAAAGGGCUUAGAAAUCAGCCAGCAGGUGGCAGGUUCUGGGACUGCAGGAGCCAUUCACAUGCGUGAAGAUCCGCUGGGCGCCCUUGCUCUGGGAUCAGGAAAGGCCGGUGCCAUGGAUGUGAUAGAUGCACACAGGGCAUCAGCAGGCCGCCGAGAGGAACCAGAGUGUCCAACGAACAGAAAACAGUGCUCAACCUUCACAUUUAUCGAAUGUUCCUUGGCACAUGCUGUAAUUCUGGCCCUAAAGACACAUUCAUGGACAAGACAAGCAAUUCCUGUUCUCGUGGAGCUGAAAUUCUCCUGGGGGAAGACAAGCACUAAACAAGAUCAAUGAUUAAAGUAUAGAUUGUAUUAGAUUCUGGUCAGCACUAUGGAGGAAAAUACAGCAGGGGAGCAGAGCAGGAGUUCUGGGAGAUUUGAUUUUUUGUUUUCUGGGGUUUUUUGUUUGUUUGUUUUUUGAGACAGGGUCUCACUGCUGGAGUGCAGUGGCACGAUCUCUGCUCACUGCAGCCUCUGCUUCUUGGGCUCAGGUGAUCCUCCCACCUCAACCUCCCAAGUAGCUGGGACCACAGGGGCAUGCCACCACACCCAGCUGAUUUUUUAAUGUUUUGUAGAGAUCAGGUCUCAUUAUAUUGCCCAAGCUGGGGGAGUUGAUUUUAACUUUAUGUUAGAGUAGUCAGGGAAGACCUCACUGAGGUGACAUUUAAGCAAAAACCUGAAUGUGGUGAAGCAGGUAUCUGGGGGACCUUGGACCACACAAAGGGAACAGCAAGUGCAAAGGCCCUGAGGUAGGAGCACGUAGUUGUGGUGAUGACGGAGAGUAGCAGGAAUUUGUGUCAUAGAAAUAGUGGGGGCUGGCCAGGCACAGCGGCUCAUGCCUGCAAUCCUAGCACUUUGGGAGGCCGAGGUGGGUGGAUUACUUGAGGUCAGGAGUCUGAGACCAGCCUGGCCAACAUGGUGAAACCCCAUCUCUACUAAAAAUUAAAAAAAAAAAAAUGGCCAGGCAUGGUGGCGUGCAUCUGUAAUCCCAGCUAUUCAGGAGGCUGAGACAUGAGAAUCACUUGAACCCGGGAGGCGGAGGUUGCAGUGAGCCGAAAUUGUGCCUCUGCACUCCAACCUGGGUGACAAAGCAAGACUCUGCCUCCAAAAAAAAAAAAAUGGAACAUGGAAACAUGGAAUGGGAGAAAAUAUUUGCAAAUCAUAUAUCUGAUAAGGGGUUCAUAUCCAGAAUACAUAAAGAACUGUUACAACUCAACAGCAAUAAAAACAACUCAAUUAAAAAUGGGCAAAGGACUUGAAUAAACAUUUCUCCAGAGAAAACUGUGAAUGGCUAAUAAUCACAUGAUAAGAUACUCAACAUCACUAACCAUUAAGGAAAUACAAACCAAAACUGCAAUGAGGCGCAACACUUUGGUGGAUCACCUGAGGUCAAGAGUUGGAGACCAGCCUGGCCGACACGGUGAAACCCCGUCUCUACUAAAAAUACAAAAAUUAGCUGGGCGUGAUGGUACGUGCGUAUAGUCCCAGCUACUUGGGAGGCUGAGGCAGGAGAAUCACUUGAACCUGGGAGGUGGAGGUUGCAGCAAGCCAAGAUCACGCCACUGCACCCCAGCCUGGGCAACUGAGUGAGACUCCAUCUAAAAAACAAACAAAACGCAAUGAGAAGAGAGGAUUUUGAAUGUUCCCGACACAAAGAAAUGAUAAACGCUUGAGGUAAUGGAUAUCCUAAUUACCCAGAUUUGAUUAUUACACGUUGUAUACAUGUAUUGAAAUAUCAUUUUGUAACCCAUGAACAUGUACAAUUAUGUGUCAACUAAAAAUAAAAGGAAUAAAACACAAUGAGAUACCACCUUACGCCCAUUAGGCUGGCUGCUGCGUUGGGAAGGAUGUGUAGAAACUGGAAUGCUUGUGUAGCUACUGUGGGAAAUGGUAUGGCUGUUCCUCAAAAAAUUAAAAAUAGAAUUACCAAAUGACCCAGCAAUUUUAUUUCUGGGUGUGUAUCCAAACGAAUUGAAAGCAAGAUCUUGAAGAGAUAUUUGUACACUCACGUUCAUAGCAGCCUUCUUCACAAUAGCCAAAAGGUGGAAGCAAUUAGCUGGGUGUGGUGGCGGGUGCCUGUAAUCCCUGCUACUU